AGAAGACCCAUGUUCACAACAUGGAUAUAUGGUGGGCCAGGCCAUGGCCAACCCAGACCCUUCUGACCCGCUGUGUUAUCUGAUGGGGCUGUGGAAGCAGCUAUUCCUAUUUUGAGACUCUCUGCUGAUGAAGACACUAUAGAACAAGAUUUCAGGCUCCUAUUUGGCGAGGUCACUGCCAACAAAUUCUUGGAAAAGUGGCCCACCAAUCUGAAGGCAAAAGUUAUAAAGGAAAGCCAUGGACUGGUACCCACCA